GUCCCUCUGACUUUUCCGCUUGUGGGUAGUCUGCCAUCUCGUUAGAGCUGCACUAUACAACUUUGUGUUAACCCUUUCGCUACGUGGGCCUCGCCGCGGAGUCCCUCUCGUAGAACGAAACGCCGUGUCAAAGGUGAAAACUUUACGUGCGUGCGGUCUUCAGCAUUCGGCGCCAAGUCUUUUGUCGCAAAAACGCCGUUGUGACACUGCUUUUAGGAGCAAAAUGAUUUGUAUUCAUAGCAAUGUGUUUAUCAUUUUUCCAUGAACGUAUGUUUGUUAUUGUUUAUAUUGUCUUAACUUUUGGCUCCAUUUUUGUGACCGGUAACUAUAGUCACCCGUCAUGUGUAGGUGGUAUCUUGUGACCAGUGACUAUAGUCACUCGUAGUAGCGAAAGGGUUAAAAAGAACUUAUUGGGCAUAUGGUGAGGAUGACGAUGUUGCAAUUAUCCAAUGUUCAUCGUAGUAGUUAUUCGUGAUUAAAAAGGAUGUGCCAGUUAUCGCACAAUUAUAUAAUUAACUAAAAAAUGUAUAAAUAGAAGUUAUCAUUAAUUGAAUAACUCUUUAUUACAGUGAAGAGAAUUAAUUCGUUAUAAAUUUUACUUGUUGUAGUAUUCAUUCGUUAUAAAAGAAACAGAAAAUAUGUAAAAUAGAAGCAUGCAAGAAUACUUAUAUAUUAUAAAUUAAAUUUUGUAUUAUAUUUUAAUUUUAUAUAUUUAAAAAAUGGUUUUAAGCCUAUUGUAUUCCUCGCGUUUGAUGUAGCGUACUCUUCCAUUGUGAGAGUUUUGAUUUCAUGAAAUGCGAAAUUAUUAUGUAAAUAAGUACUUAGUAAUUAAGUAUAAAAUUAAUUUUAAUAUAAAUAAAAAAUAAAUAACUAACCAGAAAUACAUGCUAACCAUUGUCGCCAUUGUGUCCUAUUAGUUUCGCAGGCUUUAUCUUCUGAUAAAGGUAGUGACAUGAUAUUGUCUACAGCAGAUCCUUCCUUCCGCGAGUGAAUCUGCAAUAGGUGAUAAAACAGUUUUUAAAUGAAGCACAAACCACUGACUAUGAUGUAUGGAUUAACGAUGUAAUGGGUGGUGUUAGCAAAUCCUUUAAACUAGUAUCCAUUCUUUGCUGACAUGGAAUAAUAAAAAUUAGUCUAACUUGAGUUUUUCUAGGAACUGAAGUGUAUAGAAGCGUGAAAUGUAUGAAGGUGUAAAUCAAUUUGAACGGUGAACUACUAUAUAAGUGCACUGACCUAUAUAAGUAUCUAAGCCUGCAGCAUGGAAAAUGUUAUAAAAUGUUAUGAAAAAUAUUUAGAAAGGUGGCGACUGAAAGGCGCCUCUCGAAUGCAACAAAGGGUUAAAAUCGUUCCAGUCAAUAGCGACAAUGACGACUGAAGAGAACAUUUUAAAAUUCUUACGCCCCUGCAUCAUCCUUCUUGAAGGAUGCUCCAAACCAGUAUUUCCUAAUGUGGGGGGAUAAAAAUUUUAGAAAGGCUUAGGUGGGACAUGUCACAAAAAAGGUUGAGAAACGCUGCUCCAAACCCACUGGCCACACCCCCGAAAAGGGUGUCAAUAAAGUCUAUGCGGAAGACGAUGGCCGGAUCUGCAGUUUUCGAUAUAACACAAGGGUUUUUCCUGGAACCGCUGGAGGAACAACGGAAUCGGCCUGCCGAGGGGAAUCGGCAGUUUCCCUAAAAACCGACGGCAUUUCUGUUGCAGCUCUCGUACGGAACACUUCUGCAAUCGACACUCGGAAAAACAUCCUCGCAGCGAAAUAUAUUCUAGCGUUUAAAAUAUAACGCCACAGAACAAUAUAAACUACGAUCAUUGAAAUGAUAGAUAAUCUUAGCGAAGAGAAAGUCGAACACUGGUCAUCUGCGUUUCUAUGACGUGUGUACAUACGAAUAUCAUUUAAAAAUUAGGAAUUUUUAAGCUAUCCAAUGAACUUUAAUUUAAUAACUGAAAAUUGGUACCGUUCAGUUUCUUACGACACAAAGUUUUGAUUUAUGAGUAAACAUACAACAGAUCUUUGUAUAUAAACAAUUUACAGAGGCCAACCAAUAAUUGUCAAUUAAUAAAUGGUUUCCAAAAUUGAAAACAUAAUCAGUUUUUUAAAAUAAAUUUUAUCAAAGUUUGACGAACACAAAACAUGUGUUUUACAAUUGUAUCCAGCAUACAAAAUUCUCUAAAAAUGAUUUAUUGGUUUUUGAAAAACAAAACACGUAGCGCCAUCAAACUUUUAAUAUUUAUUAAUGUGCGCUACGAAUCGUCAAACACCAUAGAAUACCCGCCUCAUAAAUUAUAAAUCCUAGGAACGUUUGAUUUUUAUCAUCAUCAAAUACUCGCUAGAUAUUAACCAAUCAACGUUGGAAAUGAAUAAAAUGAAAAUGUAUACGCCGUCUACGUAAGUAACUGUAAUAGAAAACUUCAGAGGUCAACACGCAAACAGUGCGCAAGGCUGACGCAAUCAAAGUCCAGUUUCAUCAGUUAAGAUGCGACAUAUUUCCGAUAAACUAACUUUUAUGUAGGAUUGGGGCAACGUAGUGGACUUUAAUAUUAACCAAAGUUUAUUAAACUAAGUAAUUAAAACAUGCGUGUAUCUGCCGUUUAUACUAUUCUCUGCUUCGCUUAUCCUGACUUCGACCAAGUUCACACUGUCUUCGCUUAUCACGUUCGCUGCCAGCGUUUACUUCGGUGACGGUCUCCUCAAUUAAAAUAUUUUCUUCAAUCCAAUAAAUCUUCUAAACAAAAUAUUAGAAAAAUGAAACUGAAAUGAGUCAUUAGGUUUCUAAACAUAAUGUAGUUUAUCAUUUCUAAUAACAAUAUCUGUGGGAUUAAUUUCAUUUUCAUUAUGUAAAGUAUAGGAUUACGGCCGUCACAAAUAUUUAACGCUGGCAGCGAACUUAUUAUAUCGUCAUACUGUUACUUGAUAUCUCCAGUCUUUCUCUUAUAUACAUUUUUUGGUAUCACUUUUUCACUGGUGCGUUUUUUAUGGAUUUUUGUUCGUUCGGUCGUAGAUGUAUAGAUUUGCUUUUAAAUUUUCGUGUGUCGGUUCAUAUGUAAGUUAUCGGGAAUUCUUUUAAAAUGUCAUUAAAAGAUACACCAGAUAAUCAAAUUUAUAAAUUGAUUGAAUAAUACAUUUAAACAUGAUUAUUUAAAUAUAUAAUUUCAAACGCAUUAUAUCUCAAAUUCAAAAUAAACCGUUAGGUUAAGCGCAGUAAUGAUAAAAAAUAAAAAAGAUUAUUUUGAAACGUUUUAACUGAUUAUAAAACAGUUAUUUUCGCCGAGUUAUUUUUAAGAUGCAUAGAUAUUAAAACUAAAUCCAGUUGUUCCAAAUAUCACUUCUCACGACACACACGUAUCGUAUAACAAAGGAAUUUCCGUAUUUAACUAUAUCUGAAAUAAGUUUGUAAUAAAUGUUUCUCAUGUCUCAUUAUGUGCGAUUAAGUUUACAAAGAGCAAUAUAGAUAAGCAUGCAACUAGCACGGUUUCGUGGUUCGGUAACAUAACCUAACUGAGUUCUAAAGUUGGCGUGGCUUCCUCGGACAAAAUGUGAUGGAACAUAUAGAAGGUUUGAAUUGUUGAAUGUCGGUGCAUCAGUGGAUCAAGAAAUGACAGGAAAUAGCUCGAUCAAAGCAAAGACAAUUAACGCGUUGAAUGUUGCACGAUUUCUUAAAACAAAAUCCACGAAAUGAAAAAAAUAUAAUAUUAAGUCAUUCGAUUGAAUUGCAUUAUUAUUAUUGUACGUUCAUCUAGCUAAAUGUCGCCGCCUCAGAUAGCAUUAUGUAUAAUAUAGAAAUGUGUUCAAAUAAUCAUCGUUUAAUUGAGUGAACUAUAGUAAUUUAAUUUAAUUUAUGUGUCACCGAUGACCCCCAUGGUAUUCAACGUGUUAAUAUAUAAAAAUUAAAUAUUUAAUUUAAAAAGUUGGCAUUAUUUAUAAUAUAGAUAUGUUCUCAAAUAAUCAUCGUUUAAUCAAAUGAAUUAUAAUAAUUCGAUUUGUUUGAGGUCACCAGCGACCCCGUGGCAUCCAACGUGUUAAUGUAACUGUCAAAUAUUACAAGAAUUGUACGUUUUGAAUAACAUUUUUCUUCGAGAAAAAAUGUCGCUGAUAUUUAGUUCAAAUGAAUUUUGGGCAAUAAUACAAUAAAUGCAUUCUCCUCCUAAAAGUACCGAUAUCUAUUAUCCGAGUGAAACUUAUUUCUAUAUGUACGAGGAAAAGUAUAGAACUGCCGCGAUCGGGUCAAAGCUUUUGUAACGAAGCGUAUCCGUGUGAAAUUAGGAAAGAUGUCGGCCGUGCGGUUAUGCUUUGGGUGUCUUAUGGACGCUCGCACGUGUGUAGAAUUCAUUAUAGUGGUAGCAAAAGUUUUUCACGAUUACCUUUGAAACUAAAUGUCAGUGAUACUGUUUUCGAAGAAACAAGUUGUUCAAAAUGUGCAUUUAUGCAAUAUUUAAUGGUUUUAUUAAAAUCGGUUACUGUGAGGAUCUACUGAGGUUUCAUCCCCGUCAUUUCCUAAGUGCUUGCGUUGAGAUGAUUCAGUUUACGAUACCUUUUAUUAAAAUAUAUACACCGAUUCUCUUAUUUUCCCUUUUGUUUCUGUAUUUUUGUUCAGUUUUUGAUAAAAUGCAACUGAAAAAUGCUACAGCGCACAAUUCAAAAUACCGUUAUACUAAUAAACAGUACACAAAUGUUGUCAUAUUACAUUAGUAUACUUGUACCUUACACAUAAUCAUAAAUAGUUUGAAAUAUAUUUAAUUAGCAAAAAUAAAUUAAUUUUUAUAAAAAUAAAAGUCUUAUAUAUGUAUAUACAGUGAGUCACAG